rnacentral:misc_RNA from 1 species
AAAAAAAAAAAAACCUAAAAAAAACCUCAUCUUUUGCGAGCUAUAUAUGUGUAGAACUAGAAAGAUAAUUUAUGAUCUUAACUCACUAGUCGAUGAUCUUAGCUUAAGAAACAAGAAGUGAAAGACUUGUAGAAAGAUAGAAAAUUAGAUAGAAAGUUGAGAGAGAGUGAGACAAGCAGCUUAAAACUUCCCAAAUCAGCAGAAACAAAGCAUGAGGAAGAGCUAUUGCCCUCAUUUGGACAAAAACAAGGUGCAGUAAUGGACCGUUACUAUUACUUAACGGUAAAUAAUGGCCGGUAUCGUUGUGUAAAAACCGCUAAGGCCGUUAUAGGUGCAUUUUUUAUGUUGCUUUUAACCAAUGAGUGUAAUGAUAACAGGAGGUAAAAAAACUUUUAAAUAAUGGUUGUUACAUUAUUUAAAACAUAAGAAGAACAGCGAGUACCAAGGAGGGGCAUAUUUGUGGUACUGGAGAGAGAGAGAGAGAGAG